CUGUGUUGAGGCACCGGCCCUUCUGGCAGAGAGCAGGUCCGAACAGGGCGCACUCGUCGGCAUCUGAAGCGGGGCAGAGUGAGGCGGGAGAAAGAAGGGAAACAGAGUCAGACGCUCUACGUCCAGCUGUUUGAGACUAGCUUUUGGAAUAAGGCACGCACCAAGGAGCCCAGUGCCGGAAACUCUCCAGUGAGGAUAUGAGCUCCCCAAAGUUUCUGCUUUGGUGGGUGACACCAUAGCUACUGCCCUCACCGGUGUGGCAGAGCGGCACCCUCAAUCGGUCCCUGUGUCCAGUAUGUCGGAGCUCCGGUUCAGAUACUUCACAGAGUCCUUGUCAGACUGAAUGAAAGGCAAAGAGCUGAGAGAAGUGCCUGGCAGGAAACACGGAGGAAUGUUUGUUAGCGCCGCUCAGGCAUAAACCGACCGACAGAACCCAGGGAGCUUCCACCUCAGCCAUGCUUCCUAUCGCUCCAGCUCACAGUGGAGUCUCUGGCAGACCCGCCACAUGCACCCUCCUCUGCUCCCGUGGAGAUGCUGGCCUUCGGUACAGGGCGGACCCAGGAACCUUCCUGGCAACGACUCUCCGGGGAAUUCAGAAACAGCUGUCUGAACUCCUGAAAGCUCUGCUGCUAACAGCAGAAGGAACUGGAAGGCAGAGCGAAAAGUGGAAACCUGAUGGGAAAAAAUGGGGGACGCCAGAACCACCGCUUAAUAAACAGACAGUGCUGGUUUGCAGAGGAAAAUGGAAAUGGAGAAGUGGGUUCCUGGUAGCCAUGCAAAGACGUACCCCAGUGGGAAAAAGCAUCCUGGAAGAGCCAGAUGUCAGAACCAUCUACCCUUAACAAAGCCUCCUGGCAGCCACUGCCCACAGGACAAUGGCCAUGUACUUCAGCCUGGCACUGGAGUUACUUCACAGACUGGCUUCGCCUGCCUCCACUUCUGCUAACACCCUCUAGUCACCCCGACUUCACCGUAAUUCCCAGGACAUGCCACGCCUGCCCACCUGCUGGCCUAUGCAGAAAUGGUUGCCUUUCCCUGGACUACCAGCUCCAUCUACUCCUGCUGCUCCUCCUCAGGUGCCUGGUACCCUGCCUGUAAAGGUGUGGACCCUGGGAGGCAAACCAGGCUUUGGAGAUGGCGUGGCUUUGAAUCUGUGUCCAAUGCUGCUACACCUAGGUGUCGCGUCCGUGGGUGUUUCAGCUCACCUUUCGAAGCUUCAUUUGCUAAGGCAUAAAGUGGGAGUAAGGACUGCAAGGGCUGGAAUGAUGGGCUUUAUAUAAUAAAGUGCUUAGGGUGGCUCUGGAUAUAGUGAGUGCUCAUUCAAUGGGAGCUGUUAUUACUCUACCCCAGUUCAAGUGCCCCCUCACGGAAACCUUCCCUAGUUCUCUGCUAUUGUCAGCUGCUUGCUCAUCUAACUCGAUAGUGCUAUUAUUCUUGCUCGUGCAUCGACUGUCUUCGGACCUUUAGCACAGGGCCUGUACCUGGCCACUCAGUCCGGGCUGGAGUACUCACUGACCCGGUUCCCUCACGCUCCUGUUUUAAGCUGGCUUCUCUGUCUCCUUUCCUCACAUAAUGAAGUGAGGACUUGGAUGCCUCUGGAUUCUCAAGGCCAGAUCCUUGGAAUUGGACAUUGAGGAGAUUCUGCCAAUGGAAGGACUCAUGACUCCAUGGCCAUGCCCAGGGGUGGGGGCUGUGAUCAUGGCCAAGCCUCUGACUGGUGCUGGAAACGUGAGCCCCAAGGACAGGCAGUGCCAUUCUCCAGGUGAAAGUUUCCCAACUACUUCUGGAUCCCCAGGCACUGUGUGGAAAAUGCGUCCUUAUUUCUUCGUGAACUUAUUCAUAAAACCGUACAGGCGCGUUCUAUUUAUAAAAGGGUUUGCACCGUGUGCUGGCUGGUUUUAUGUCAACUUGACAUCAGCUAGAGUCAUCAGAGAGGAGGGAGCUGGAGCUGAGAAAACACCUCCAUAGGCUCGGACCGUAGGCAAGCCUGUAAGGCAUUUUUUUAAGUUAGUGAUUGAUAUAGAAGGGCACAGCCCAUUGUGAGUGGGGCCACCCUGGGCUGGUGGU